UUGGCGGAUGUCAUUUUAAUAUCUUAUAAACCUGUAACUGCCCGCUGAAGUGACUUCGGCAGAAUGGUUAGCUCAGGGCCUGGAACUUGUCAGGGUCUCAGGCAACACGCGUCUCUUCUUUUUAAGAAGUUUGCCUCCAGGUUAUUUUUAAGGGCACACGUUAAGACACAGAGUUGUACAUGUGAAUGGGGAAACUGGGUAAUGUUUUGAUCUGUGCAUAAUUGUGUGUAAUGCUUGAAUCCAGUUAAACAUAUCCAUCUCGCCUGUCACCUGUCAUUUGUUCAUGGUGAGAGCUCAGAGCCUUUCUUCUAAGCUUCUGUAGGUGGGUGGCAUGUAAUUAAUUGUUCUCCACAAUUACCCCAUUGGGCAAAGGCUCAUGGAGCUGCAACUCCAUACUCACUGGUCAGCCUCUCCUCAUUUCUCCCGCUCUCCUACCACCCCAAACAGUAACCAUUCAUUCCACUCUCUUCCAGAAAGCUCUGUAGACAAAUGAGAUCACAUGGUGCCAUCUUCCUGGGCCUAGCUUAUUUCACUUCACACAGUAUCGCCAUUUCCAUCCCUGUUGGCACAAGUGGCGGGAUCUUCAUCCUUUUUAUGAUUGAGUAUUCUGUUGUGCACAUGGGCUGCACUUUCUUUUCCACUAGGGUGAUUUCUGUCUGUUGACAAUGGUGAUGGAUGCAGUUAUGGAGGGGUUGUUGGAGGAGGGAGAGGGGUCCUUCAUCACGCUGCUGCCUUUCAUGGGGCUCCACACCCAGAGAAAGGCCAGACAGCUGGCUCAUGGGGCAAGCAGGAAAGAGAGGUCCAGCUUCAUCCUCGCCUGGAAAUCCCAAGAACCCUCCCUGCUGUGCUCUGUGAAGUCUAUGCAAGUCAGCACUUCCUCCCUCCGCAUGGAGGACUCCCCUCUGAGCCCUCACCAGCCUCUCAGCACCGGCUGUCUGUGGACUUUCCAACUGGAGAGAGGUGGUAUCUGGCCGUGGUCUGACCCAUAUUAAUGAUGCUGAGCGUUUUUUUUUUUCUACCCCUGUUGGUGGUGUUCCCGCUUUGAUCUGUAGAUGCUUCGCAGCCCACAGUCCCCCCACCUCAGGCGUGGACCAGUGUCCCAGCCAGGGCCCAGUGCAGAUAUCCAUUGGAUUCAUCUGACAGCUGUUCCUGUUUCCUCAGCUCUCCUGGGCCCCCCACACCCCCACCCGCUGACCACCCUGCAGGGGGCACAGAAUGCAGCCCUGUGUGCCGGUCUCCCUCAGCCACCAUGACCAUGGGGUGAUGGUCAGGGUUAACUAGUCUGUGUGGUGCCCAGCCCAUGGUCAGGGCUGGAGUGGACAUUACAUGACCCCACGUCACACCUCAGCACCACUUUAUGAGCAAGAGCCCACCCACGGAAGAGGUGGAGAUGGGGACAGUCCCCAGCCAGCCAAAGAGCAGAUGGGAUCCGUGGGGGGAAGGGCAAAAAGCAUUGGCCCUGACCACAUGGCGAGCACAGCAGCUGCGGUGGGCAAUGAAGCCAGACCGCCCUCUCCCGCCUGCAUCCCAGACAGCCCAUUGCCACCAAGUCUCACAGCAGAGACCCGCGAACCUGAAGGCUCUUCUUCCCGGGUGUUCCUGACUUCAGCCUCACGUGUGGGGCCUUGAAGGGCUUUGUUUCUUCAUGUUGCUUUGAAAGAAAUGUGUCUUUGAAUGUUCAGGUAAGAAGGCGCUAUUGUGAAUCGGAGGCACACCUGGAGGCCGAUGAAUUACCCGGAUGCAAUCAUUAUACAGCUCAAAAA